CCUUCCCCGUUUCCUGUCGCCAAAUAAUUUCGGCGACCACCCAUCACCACCCUCAAACCCCCACUGCCCAACAACCAAUAAACCACCACAACAACCGUAUCACGCUGGAUCCCACCGCCAGUCCCCUCCAUUUCUCCACUUUUCCAUCACUGCUUCGCCGGAGGUGAUGACCGGCGAGGCUUUCGGCUGCUACCAUUAUAUUUAUACCCUUCAUCCCAUUUUUACUCUUUACCAUUUCAUGAUUUUACAGAUCUUGUUAUUUUUUGUUUUAUUCAGCGUCAUUCCGGUAUCCCUUACCGUGGAAGCAAUGUUCUUGAUCACUCCGAUUUUGAUAUGAUAUUUUGACAUUAUGUAGAUUUAAUGACAGAUGUGUUCUUAUGUUUUCUACUGAUUAUGGUUAGUAUUUUAUUUUGCUUGUUUAGAUUUAUUGGGUUUAUUCUUGUUACCAACUUUGGUUGAGAUGUGAUAAAAAAAUGUUGUCUCUGGCAGGCCUUGUUUGCUAUCCGUAUUGAUGUGGGUUCGUACUGCCAUUUGGGCCGGCUGUUAGUUGUUCCGUUCAUUUGCUGAACUGUUUUUCAUAAUAUUUUUAGUUAAUUUUUUGGUUCAUUCCUAGUACAUUACUUGUUAUUUUGCUAAGGCU
rnacentral:lncRNA from 1 species